GACGAACGCUGGAGGCGUGCUUAACACAUGCAAGUCGAACGAUGAAAUGGAGCUUGCUCCAUGGAUUAGUGGCGAACGGGUGAGUAACACGUGAAUAACCUGCCCUUAAUUUUGGAAUAACCCAGGGAAACCUGGGCUAAUACCGGAUAAGUAAACCUGUGGCAUCACAUGGUUUUGGAAAGUUUUUCGAUUAAGGAUGGAUUCGCGGCCUAUCAGCUUGUUGGUGAGGUAAUGGCUCACCAAGGCGACGACGGGUAGCCGGCCUGAGAGGGGGAGGGGCCACACUGGGACUGAAACACGGCCCAGACUCCUACGGGAGGCAGCAGGGGGGAAUAUUGCGCAAUGGACGAAAGUCUGACGCAGCGCCGCCUCGGGGGGGACGAAGGUCUUCGGAUUGUAAACCUCUUCCAACAGGGACGAAGCGAAAGUGACGGUACCUGCAGAAGAAGCCCCGGCUAACUAGGUGCCACCCGCCGCCGUAA
rnacentral:rRNA from 1 species